UUAGCGACUGGGGUGAAGUCGUAACAAGGUAGCCGUAGGGGAACCUGCGGCUGGAUCACCUCCUUUCUAAGGA
rnacentral:rRNA from 1 species